UAAUGUUUGUGUGUUUCUGCUCAGGACGAACGCUGGCGGCGUGCUAAUACAUGCAAGUCGAACGAACUCUGGUAUUGAUUGGUGCUUGCAUCAUGAUUUACAUUUGAGUGAGUGGCGAACUGGUGAGUAACACGUGGGAAACCUGCCCAGAAGCGGGGGAUAACACCUGGAAACAGAUGCUAAUACCGCAUAACAACUUGGACCGCAUGGUCCGAGCUUGAAAGAUGGCUUCGGCUAUCACUUUUGGAUGGUCCCGCGGCGUAUUAGCUAGAUGGUGGGGUAACGGCUCACCAUGGCAAUGAUACGUAGCCGACCUGAGAGGGUAAUCGGCCACAUUGGGACUGAGACACGGCCCAAACUCCUACGGGAGGCAGCAGUAGGGAAUCUUCCACAAUGGACGAAAGUCUGAUGGAGCAACGCCGCGUGAGUGAAGAAGGGUUUCGGCUCGUAAAACUCUGUUGUUAAAGAAGAACAUAUCUGAGAGUAACUGUUCAGGUAUUGACGGUAUUUAACCAGAAAGCCACGGCUAACUACGUGCCAGCAGCCGCGGUAAUACGUAGGUGGCAAGCGUUGUCCGGAUUUAUUGGGCGUAAAGCGAGCGCAGGCGGUUUUUUAAGUCUGAUGUGAAAGCCUUCGGCUCAACCGAAGAAGUGCAUCGGAAACUGGGAAACUUGAGUGCAGAAGAGGACAGUGGAACUCCAUGUGUAGCGGUGAAAUGCGUAGAUAUAUGGAAGAACACCAGUGGCGAAGGCGGCUGUCUGGUCUGUAACUGACGCUGAGGCUCGAAAGUAUGGGUAGCAAACAGGAUUAGAUACCCUGGUAGUCCAUACCGUAAACGAUGAAUGCUAAGUGUUGGAGGGUUUCCGCCCUUCAGUGCUGCAGCUAACGCAUAAGCAUU
rnacentral:rRNA from 2 species